rnacentral:rRNA from 1 species
UAAUACAGGGAGGGCAAGUGUUAUUCGGAAUGAUUGGGCGUAAAGGGCAUUUAGGCGGUCAAUUUUGUUGAAAAUGAAAUUACAGAGUUAACCAUCUGUAGCGUUUUUCAAAACUAAUUGACUUGAGUAAAGAAUGGGAUAGCGUUAUUCCUAGUGUAGGGAUAAAAUCCAUGAAAAUUAGGAGGAGCAUCAAAAGCGAAGGCAGCUAUCUAGUCUUUCACUGACGCUGACAUGCUAAAGCAUGGGGAGCGAACAGGAUUUGGUACCCUGGUAGUCCAUGCCGUAAACGAUGAGUGUUCGGUGUUGGAUCCAAAAAAAAUAUUUUUGGAUUCAGUAUCUUAGCUAACGCGUUAAACACUCCGCCUGGGGAGUAUGACCGCAAGGUUG